CCUACGGGGGGCAGCAGUGAGGAAUAUUGGUCAAUGGACGAGAGUCUGAACCAGCCAAGUAGCGUGAAGGAUGACUGCCCUAUGGGUUGUAAACCUCUUUUAUAUGGGAAUAAAACGUUCCACGUGUGGGAUUUUGUAUGUACCAUAUGAAUAAGGAUCGGCUAACUCCGUGCCAGCAGCCGCGGUAAUACGGAGGAUCCGAGCGUUAUCCGGAUUUAUUGGGUUUAAAGGGAGCGUAGGUGGAUUGUUAAGUCAGUUGUGAAAGUUUGGGGCUCAACCAUAAAAUUGCAGUUGAAACUGGCAGUCUUGAGUACAGUAGAGGUGGGCGGAAUUCGUGGUGUAGCGGUGAAAUGCUGAGAUAUCACGAAGAACUCCGAUUGCGAAGGCAGUUCACUGGACUGCAACUGACACUGAGGCUCGAAAGUGUGGGUAUCAAACAGGAUUAGAUACCCCAGUAGUC
rnacentral:rRNA from 1 species